GUGGGGAAUAUUGCACAAUGGGGGAAACCCUGAUGCAGCAACGCCGCGUGAGUGAUGACGGUCUUCGGAUUGUAAAACUCUGUCUUCAGGGACGAUAAUGACGGUACCUGAGGAGGAAGCCACGGCUAACUACGUGCCAGCAGCCGCGGUAAUACGUAGGUGGCAAGCGUUGUCCGGAUUUACUGGGCGUAAAGGGAGCGUAGGUGGAUAUUUAAGUGGGAUGUGAAAUACUCGGGCUUAACCUGGGUGCUGCAUUCCAAACUGGAUAUCUAGAGUGCAGGAGAGGAAAGUAGAAUUCCUAGUGUAGCGGUGAAAUGCGUAGAGAUUAGGAAGAAUACCAGUGGCGAAGGCGACUUUCUGGACUGUAACUGACACUGAGGCUCGAAAGCGUGGGGAGCAAACAGGAUUAGAAACCCCAGUAGUCC
rnacentral:rRNA from 1 species